rnacentral:tRNA from 1 species
CAAGAAAUAGUUUAAUUAGAUGAAAAUAAUAACAUUGGAAGUUAUAGAUUAAAUAAUAUUUAUUUUUUGA